rnacentral:rRNA from 1 species
AUUGAACGCUGGCGGCAUGCCUUACACAUGCAAGUCGAACGGCAGCACGGGUGCUUGCACCUGGUGGCGAGUGGCGAACGGGUGAGUAAUACAUCGGAACAUGUCCUGUAGUGGGGGAUAGCCCGGCGAAAGCCGGAUUAAUACCGCAUACGAUCUACGGAUGAAAGCGGGGGACCUUCGGGCCUCGCGCUAUAGGGUUGGCCGAUGGCUGAUUAGCUAGUUGGUGGGGUAAAGGCCUACCAAGGCGACGAUCAGUAGCUGGUUUGAGAGGACGACCAGCCACACUGGGACUGAGACACGGCCCAGACUCCUACGGGAGGCAGCAGUGGGGAAUUUUGGACAAUGGGCGAAAGCCUGAUCCAGCAAUGCCGCGUGUGUGAAGAAGGCCUUCGGGUUGUAAAGCACUUUUGUCCGGAAAGAAAUCCUUGGCCCUAAUACGGUCGGGGGAUGACGGUACCGGAAGAAUAAGCACCGGCUAACUACGUG